rnacentral:misc_RNA from 1 species
UAACAAGGUUUCUCUCCUGCCGAGACCCUGUGGAGCUGCUCCGGCAGCGUUGCCGCGACUAUAAAUACAGGGCAUUCGCCGCAAGUCCUUCGGGGCGACACUGCACGAUUGACGGGAACGCCCAUCUCUGGCAACCCGCAGCCCCUACCCGGGGUUCACAGAUCAAGUGGCAGUGGGCCUUCGGGCUUAAGAUAUGACCGGCCCCAGCGCGCAAGCCCUGGGAUUACAGCGUCCGUAGGUGAACCUGCGGAAGGAUCAUUAAAGAAUACAAGGCUUCACCGCCCUAUUCUCACCCUCUGUAUAUCAAACUUUGUUGCUUUGGCAGGCCCCCGGCUCAGGCUGGACCGCGCCUGCCAGAGGACCUAAACUCUUGAAUCAUUGCAGUCUGAGAAACUAUACAAUAGUUAAAACUUUCAACAACGGAUCUCUUGGUUCUGGCAUCGAUGAAGAACGCAGCGAAAUGCGAUAAGUAAUGUGAAUUGCAGAAUUCAGUGAAUCAUCGAAUCUUUGAACGCACAUUGCGCCCUCUGGUAUUCCGGGGGGCAUGCCUGUUCGAGCGUCAUUACAACCCUCACGCCUGGCGUGGUAUUGGGCUCGCCCUGUAGGGCCUGCCUCAAAGUCAGUGGCGGCACCGUUUGACCCCUAAGCGUAGUAAUACUCGUCGCUUCUGGUGUCGUGCGGAGGCCUGCCAGCAACCCCCAUUUUUUAAAGGUUGACCUCGGAUCAGGUAGGGAUACCCGCUG